AGCUGCUGACGUUUCCAGUUUCCAUGCAGGAAGACUGGUAGGAGGAGAUCAUCUGGCAAAGAGAUUUGCAGAGUGUCGGGUGACCGGCAAAGAGAUCUGCAAAGUGUCAGUUGAAGACGACGGGAGGGGUCGCAGAGGUAGCAAUGACAGGAGUAUAACAUGCAGGAGUUCUGGCAAAGAGAUUUGCAGAGUGUCGGAUGACCGGCAAAGAGAUCUGCAAAGUGUCAGUUGAAGACGACGGGAGGGUUCGCAGAGGAAUUAGUGACUGGAGAAUAGCAUGCAGGAGUUUGUGAUACCUGAAUAGCUGCCCUGGGAGGAGAGCUGCGGACACAUGCUCCAAAUGUUGGGACAUAUGCAUUACCUAUUAGGAGAUGCGGUAAAGAUGCCGGCUGUCGGGUUUACGGCAGUCAGAAUACUGACACUAAGAUCCCGACACUCUUCAGAAUCCCGACGUUGGAACUCCGAAUGGGCAAGGAUACCACCGCCCGUAUACCCACGAUCAUAGGUUUAGGGCUGGGCAAGGAGGGCUAGGUUUAGGCAUAAGGCA